ACAUGGCCCCAAUACAGCACGAACGAGGUCAAGCCGACCAAUGAUACAGCACCAACAACGUCAGGCUGGCCAACAUGGCCCCGUACAGCACCAGCGAGGUCAGGCUGGCCAAAUUCACUGUAGGGCCCAGCUCUCAUGAGUCCAUUCUGGCUUGGACCCCAUGGUCACAGGUCAGCCUCCUGUCUGCCUCCAUGACACAGGGACUAAAGCCUGCUCCAAGCCUGCUGGGGAUAUCUGCUACCUCCUGGGCUGCUCACCAGCCACCAGCUCCUCCAAGGCUGUGUCCACUCUAAGCUGUACAGUAUUGAAGCUCCCUGACACUGGUUGCCUGACCCCAGCAGAGAACCUAAGAUACCCAGCAGCACCUGAAAUCUAGUCACAUGGCAUCCACUAACUCUGGGAGCAGGAAUGACGGGCUAUGGAGCAAAAAAUGGAAUGGCUUACACCAUCUCUGUUGGUAUCUCCACCAACCCUCAGAAAUGUUCUGUCUUUUUAGGAAGGCACAAGUACCGUAAAGCUUGAAAUACACAUGUUCUUUAUGGUCAACUUAUGAUGCCAUAAGUUUGUGGGAAUAAGAACUUGUGAACAGACAUGCUUGGUUUGACUAUGAGUUUGAGAUGCACACGAUCCUUUCAUUUUGAUGACAAAUCCACAUAUU